AGAGUUUGAUUAUGGCUCAGGAUGAACGCUGGCGGCGUGCCUAAUACAUGCAAGUCGAACGCACUAGCAAUAGUGAGUGGCGAACGGGUGAGUAACACGUAGGUAACUUACCCCUAAGACGAGGAUAACGACUGGAAACGGUCGCUAAAACUGGAUAGGAUGAUUGGAGGCAUCUCUGAUCAUUUAAAGGGGCUUUCGGGCCACACUUAGGGGAAAGGCCUGCGGCGCAUUAGCUAGUUGGUGGGGUAGAGGCCUACCAAGGCGAUGAUGCGUAGCCGGACUGAGAGGUCGAACGGCCACAUUGGGACUGAGACACGGCCCAAACUCCUACGGGAGGCAGCAGUAGGGAAUUUUCGGCAAUGGAGGAAACUCUGACCGAGCAAAACCGCCGCGUGAAUGAAGAAGUUCUUCGGAAUGUAAAGUUCUUUUAUUAGGGACGAAAGUCCUAACUAGGAAAUGAGUUAGGAGUGACGGUACCUAAAGAAUAAGCCCCGGCUAACUAUGUGCCAGCAGCCGC
rnacentral:rRNA from 1 species